CCAAUAGCGUAUAUUAAAGUUGUUGCAGUUAAAAAGCUCGUCGUUGAAUUUUAGGCCUGGCCGGGCGGUCCGUCUUUGGCGAGUACUGUUCUGUGUCGGGUCUUACCUUCUGGUGAACCGGCAUGUUCUUUAUUGAGUGUACCGGGGAGCCAGGACCAUUACCUUGAAAAAAUUAGAGUGUUUAAAGCAGGCAUUUGCUUGAAUAGAUUAGCAUGGAAUAAUAGAAUAGGACGUUGGUUCUAUUUUGUUGGUCUAGGACCACCGUAAUGAUUAAUAGGGAUAGUUGGGGGCAUUAGUAUUCAAUUGUCAGAGGUGAAAUUCUUGGAUUUAUUGAAGACUAACUAUUGCGAAAGCAUUUGCCAAGGAUGUUUUCAUUAAUCAAGAACGAAAGUUAGGGGAUCGAAGACGAUCAGAUACCGUCGUAGUCUUAACCAUAAACUAUGCCGACUAGGAAUCGGGCGACGUUAUUUUCAUGACUCGCUCGGCGCCUUAUG
rnacentral:rRNA from 1 species